GGAGGGCGUGUAGACAAUGUCAGCUCUCUGACUGACGGGUCCUUGUGAGGGUGAACAAAAGCCACCCAGGCACCUGCUCGUCUCCAGGUGGUGGGCAUGGCCACCAACAAAACCUGCCCCCGCGCUGCUGUCUGGGUGCUAUUUCAGGAAUGACCAGGAACUGGCUGCUCCGAUGGCAGAGCAGGGACCCACCCAGAGAUGCCGUGUCACCCCCAUGGGCAUCUUUUGGGCAAGGCUCUGUGAUGAGAUAGGAUGUGACUCAGGCUUCAAUUCUCAUAACAAAACUGUAACGUGGAAACCUCCCUCUGAGUACCUGGAACAUGGGGUUCCCCUCUCAACCAGCGACCUGCGUUCGUCCUCGAGAGCCUGGAGUCUGGAGUCAGACAGCCUGGAGCUGGACACUCACUUCUGCCACAUACCACCGGCAACGUUUAACACGUCUGUUCCUGGGUCUUUUCAUUUGUAAAACGGGUAUAUGAUAGGAUGUACCCACAGGGUGGUGAAGAUUCAGCAGCCUUCAUCGAGUAAAAAGGCGAUUCCAAAGGUCAUUGCAAGAUUACAAUCCAGACACAUGUGCUGCUCUGUGUGGGAGGAUGACUGACCGGCGCCUGGAGGAAUGAGCUGGCUUCACCCGAGGGGGACGCUUCGGGGCCAGUUGAAGGCGGUAAGACGCCUGCGACCAGCUGCAGGCGUUUGCUUGGUCCUGCCUUCUACGGAGGAAAAAGGAUUUUUUUUCAUUUAGUGUGAAAAAUACUCCAAUACCACCAGACUGUGUUAAAAUAAUCAGAUUGAUGGAAUGGAUU
rnacentral:lncRNA from 1 species